AAAACUGGUGUUAUGUGCUCUAUCUUCCUGGUUUUAGUCAGAACUCCAGCAACAACAUUCUGGAUCAAGCUGCAGCUCGACCAUUGAUUUGUUAGUCAGAUCUAUUAAGACACUGCUGCAGUAAUCAAUGCCACUAAAGAGAAACCCCUGGAUGAGUUUCUCUGAUGCUGAGACAUUAGUCCUCUGAUCCUGGAAAUGUUCUUCAGCUGAUAGAAGGCCCACUUUAGAACCGUCUUUAUGUGGUUCUGAUCUCCUGCAGCAGUGGCUCUCUGAACCCAGAUCAUGUUGCCGAUCCAACAUCAUGUGUCAGGACCAGGGCCAUUGAUUGGGUCAAACUGCUGAGCAAGAAGAGAUGAAACUGAAGAAGCCGUGAAUAAUUAAUAAACCCUCGGACACACGAACCGCUGAAUCAGCUGAGAGAGACUAGACAUCCUUCAUCUCGCUGAGCUGCUGGACGGAGGCCCGGGUUCUGAACAGAACCAGAACCCUAUCCUCCCAGAGUCUCAGGGUCCAGAUUGUUUUAAAGCAUCAGCCUCUCCGGGUGCUGAUAUCCAGUUCUGAUAGGUCCAAACCAGCCGACAGGGACAGACAGCUGCAUGUCCUCUGGAGCAAAAACAGGACAACACUCUAAAGGACUCGCCCUCUUCUUCUUCACAAACACUUCCUUCCUCUUCCUGGUCCUCCAGACUCUGAGGGGUUUUGCUGAAGAGCAAAGAGACAGAGAGGACUCCAGCUGUAUU